UACAGAGGGUGCAAGCGUUAAUCGGAAUUACUGGGCGUAAAGCGUGCGCAGGCGGUUCGUGAUGUCUGGUGUGAAAGCCCCGGGCUUAACCUGGGAAUUGCAUUGGAAACUAGCGGGCUGGAGUGUGGCAGAGGGGGGUGGAAUUCCACGUGUAGCAGUGAAAUGCGUAGAGAUGUGGAGGAACACCGAUGGCGAAGGCAGCCCCCUGGGCUAACACUGACGCUCAUGCACGAAGGCGUGGGGAUCAAACAGG
rnacentral:rRNA from 1 species